CCGUGUCCCCUGCAUCGGCAGGCGGACUCUCAACCACUGCGCCACCAGGGAAGCCCAGUCCUCAAAUUUUGUGGUUAAAAAACGGAGUAUUGUUGAAUGACUGUCCUUGAAGGUGACUGAACAGCAUCAAAGAGAUGGGAGAGAGAGAGAGAGAGAGACACGCUGGCAAAAAGAGUGAGGACGGAGCAAAGCCCCAAUGCUUAAGAUGAAGAAAAAGAUGUUAAUAGAGACGUGGUAAGGGGAAGCUUGAACUAUGAUACUCCUCUGAUCCAGAACGCCAUUGAGAAACCUGGGUUGGUACAGUGGAGGAUAAAAUCAGCCUCAAGGCCGCAUAGCCUGAACAAGAUUUCAAGCAUGUGGAACUUCCCCCACCAGGGAUUGAACCCGUGCCCCGUGAAGUGGAAGUGUGGAGUCUUAACCACUGGACCAUCGAUGAAGUCCCAGAAAAAGUCUUAUAUUUACCCAGUACUUUAAAGCUACUGUUCCAUUGUUGGCUUAGUCUGCUCCAGCUGCUAUAACAAAAAUACCAUACACUGUGUGGCUUAAAUACAAACACUUAUUUCUCACAGUUCUGGAGGCUGGGAUGUCCAAGAUAAAGGUACCAGCUGAUUCAUUGUCUGAUUCUUUUCCCAUAUAGGUCAUCACAGAGUAUUGAGAAGAGUUCCCU